CCUACGGGGCGCAGCAGUCGAGAAUCAUUCACAAUGGGGGAAACCCUGAUGGUGCGACGCCGCGUGGGGGAAUGUAGGUCUUCGGAUUGUAAACCCCUGUCAUGUGGGAGCAAAUUAAAAAGAUAGUACCACAAGAGGAAGAGACGACUAACUCUGUGCCAGCAGCCGCGGUAAUACAGAGGUCUCAAGAGUUGUUCGGAAUCACUGGGCGUAAGGCGUGCGUAGGCUGUUUCGUAAGUCGUGUGUGAAAGGCGCGGGCUCAACCCGCGGACGGCACAUGAUACUGCGAGACUAGAGUAAUGGAGGGGGAACCGGAAUUCUCGGUGUAGCAGUGAAAUGCGUAGAUAUCGAGAGGAACACUCGUGGCGAAGGCGGGUUCCUGGACAUUAACUGACGCUGAGGCACGAAGGCCAGGGGAGCGAAAGGGAUUAGAUACCCGUGUAGUC
rnacentral:rRNA from 1 species